rnacentral:rRNA from 1 species
AUUGAACGCUGGCGGCAGGCUUUACACAUGCAAGUCGAGCGGCUGCGGGGGCUUUGCCCCUGGGGCCAGUGGCGGACGGGUGAGUAAUGCCUAGGAACCUGCCCGGUAGUGGGGGAUAGCCCCGGGAAAGGCGGGUUAAUACCGCAUACGACCUGAGGGUGAAAGUGGGGGUCCGAAAAGCCCCCGCCCACUGAUGCGGCGAUGUCGGGUUUGCUAGUUGGUGGGGUAAAGGCUUACCAAGGCGACGAUCCGUAGCUGGUCUGAGAGGACGACCAGCCACACUGGGACUGAGACACGGCCCAGACUCCUACGGGAGGCAGCAGUGGGGAAUUUUGGACAAUGGGGGAAACCCUGAUCCAGCCAUGCCGCGUGCGGGAAGAAGGCCUUCGGGUUGUAAACCGCUUUUGUUCGGGAAGAAAUCCUCUGGGCUAAUACCCCGGGGGGAUGACGGUACCGGAAGAAUAAGCACCGGCUAACUACGUG